CUUGGAUACAUAGGUCUGGUGAUGAUUCUUUGGAUUUUAAUAGCCUUGUGCAUAUAACAACAACAUGACAAGCCCUAGUUCAAAUUGAUGCUGGGAGGACCCGCAGCGACAUGUUUGAAACGGUUUAAAGGUUUGGCUCAGUGCUAUAAAUAGACUUGGCGUAGCCGCGAACUAAACUUGAAUGUGAAUUGGAGUGGCUUGACAAACUGUUGUGAACAUGGAGCUCAACUGUUUUCUUUUUCUUCCGCAGGUUUGGUAGUUUGAAGAAGGUGCUGGUCAUGACACUAUGAAAUUCUUGGCAAUUGGACGAAAUCAAAACCGUGAAGGAAGAAGAUGAAAAAUUGAAGAUGUUAUAAUGGAAACAAUUAAGUUCUAGGAUAUAGGCCUGAUAGUUAGUGUAGAGUUUGUGAGUAGAAAUGACAUAUGACUUUUGAAACUUUUGGAGAUGUUACUGAGUUGUAUAUUUUCUCGAUGACAAUGUAAUUGAGUUGAAGUUGUAGUGGUGUACUGAACAUGAACAUGCCCUUGGAUGAGAGA